ACACAUGCAAGUCGAACGGCAGCACAGAGAGAGCUUGCUCCUUGGGUGGCGAGUGGCGGACGGGUGAGGAAUACAUCGGAAUCUACUUUUUCGUGGGGGAUAACGUAGGGAAACUUACGCUAAUACCGCAUACGACCUACGGGUGAAAGCAGGGGACCUUCGGGCCUUGCGCGAUUGAAUGAGCCGAUGUCGGAUUAGCUAGUUGGCGGGGUAAAGGCCCACCAAGGCGACGAUCCGUAGCUGGUCUGAGAGGAUGAUCAGCCACACUGGAACUGAGACACGGUCCAGACUCCUACGGGAGGCAGCAGUGGGGAAUAUUGGACAAUGGGCGCAAGCCUGAUCCAGCCAUACCGCGUGGGUGAAGAAGGCCUUCGGGUUGUAAAGCCCUUUUGUUGGGAAAGAAAUCCAGCUGGCUAAUACCCGGUUGGGAUGACGGUACCCAAAGAAUAAGCACCGGCUAACUUCGUGCCAGCAGCCGCGGUAAUACGAAGGGUGCAAGCGUUACUCGGAAUUACUGGGCGUAAAGCGUGCGUAGGUGGUCGUUUAAGUCCGUUGUGAAAGCCCUGGGCUCAACCUGGGAACUGCAGUGGAUACUGGGCGACUAGAGUGUGGUAGAGGGUAGCGGAAUUUCCUGGUGUAGCAGUGAAAUGCGUAGAGAUCAGGAGGAACAUCCAUGGCGAAGGCAGCUACCUGGACCAACACUGACACUGAGGCACGAAAGCGGUGGGGGAGCAAACAGGAUUAGAUACCCUGGUAGUCCACCGCCCCUAAACGAUGCGAACUGAUGUUGGGUGCAUUUGGCCACGCAGUAUCGAGCUAACGCGUAGUUCGCCGCCUGGGGGAGUACGGUCCGCAGGACUGGAACUCAAAGGAUUGGACGGGGCC
rnacentral:rRNA from 1 species